rnacentral:tmRNA from 1 species
GGGGGCGAAAGGCUUCGACAGGGGCUUGUAUAGAUCUUUGGAUGCACGUCGGGCGUUUUCUUUUGGUAGCCCGUUAAAAAUGCUGGAAGAAUCACAAAUGCUAACUCUAAUCAAGAAUUAGCCUUAGCUGCCUAAUUUAGGUCAAGCUAAUGUCCUGCGGCAAGUCUGCUUGAAGCGAGUCGUUAGGGCAUAACACAGUUCAAGCUAGUGCAUAUUCACCGUCUGCGAAUAUGCAUGAAAUGUUAGCCAGGCUAGUCUGUUGUGAGGUCUUGUCAUUUCACAUACUUGCUUCAGAUGAAACUUAAGUGAAACGACUAAACGUGUAGAUUCUACUGGUCGCAACCUUUGGAUGCGAGUUCGAUUCUCGCCGCCUCCACCA